rnacentral:rRNA from 4 species
AAACCAACAGGGAUUGUCUUAGUAACGGCGAGUGAAGCGACAAAAGCUCAAAUUUGAAAUCUGGCACCUUCGGUGUCCGAGUUGUAAUUUGAAGAAGGUAACUUUGGAGUUGGCUCUUGUCUAUGUUCCUUGGAACAGGACGUCACAGAGGGUGAGAAUCCCGUGCGAUGAGAUGUCCAACUCUAUGUAAAGUGCUUUCGAAGAGUCGAGUUGUUUGGGAAUGCAGCUCUAAGUGGGUGGUAAAUUCCAUCUAAAGCUAAAUAUUGGCGAGAGACCGAUAGCGAACAAGUACAGUGAUGGAAAGAUGAAAAGAACUUUGAAAAGAGAGUGAAAAAGUACGUGAAAUUGUUGAAAGGGAAGGGUUUGAGAUCAGACUUGGUAUUUUGUAUGUCUUGCUUUCGGGUGGGGCCUCUGCAGUUUACUGGGCCAGCAUCGGUUUGGACGGUAGGAUAAUGACAUUGGAAUGUGGCACUACUUCGGUGGUGUGUUAUAGACUUUGUUGAUACUGCCUGUCUAGACCGAGGACUGCGUCUUUGACUAGGAUGCUGGCAUAAUGAUCCUAAACCGC